UUCUCCAAUUAUUUGAUUGCUUCGACCAUCAAGAUUCAAUUAGGCUAAUUAUCCUUUAUCGAAAGUUAAAUUUCCUCGAACAAGUGUUAGGACUUACAAGGCAUUUAGUGCUUUUUUUUUAGCCUUUUUUUUUUUUUUUUGCAUUCUCCCAUAAGCUUUCUAGAUGACCCAUGUAGCAGGCUUUAGGCCGAUGACUCCCAAAUCAGAUGACUUUAGGGCACCAGGUUUUCAAAUACCCUUAUAGGCUUAAUAACCUGAGUCAAAAAUGCUUCGAAGAGAACAAUUUUUUUAGGGCAAUUUUCUCUCUAAUUGCUUUUUAAAUGACCCCUGUAACGAGUUUUAGGCCGAUGACUCCCAAGUCA
rnacentral:lncRNA from 1 species